AUUUACGUGGUGUUUCCACAAACAAAAACAAUUAUAUUUUAUCGCCAUGCAAACAUUCAAAGAACUUAUAAACAAUAGUUAAUAAUAUCAUAGAUCGUUGUAACAAGAUGAUAAAUUUGUUACAAACACGCAAUUGUUGACAAUGAUAUACGGCAACACAUCAGGGAGGGGUUGUACGAAGGCCGGAUAGCGCUGUCUACUACGAAUAUGGAUCCCACAGUUAAUAAAAGGACACUUCAAGUCUUGAACUUUUAUAUAGAAAAUUUAAUAGUGGUAAUAUAUCCAAGUCAACGGCCAAUUUAACUAAUUUAAGAAAGAAGAAGAAACCCGGUCAGAGGAUAACGCUAUCCGGCUUUCGUAUAGCUUGCGUGUCAGGCUGUAAAACUACUAUGCCGGGUAAUUGUAAUUCAGCAAUACCUUAGUUAUUAGGACCUGUAUAUGAGUUUGUAUGCAUUUCAUUUAGGACAGAUAAUCUCAACUGUUUUAGG